rnacentral:rRNA from 1 species
AAUCAACGCUGGCGGCGUGCCUAACACAUGCAAGUCGAACGAGAAAGCGGGGGCAACCCUGUGAGUAAAGUGGCAGACGGGUGAGUAACACGUGAACAACCUACCCUCGAGUGGGGAAUAACACCGCGAAAGCGGUGCUAAUACCGCAUAACAUCUUCGGAUCGCAUGAUCUGAAGAUCAAAAGCGCAAGUUGCUUGAGGAGGGGUUCGCGCCUGAUUAGCUAGUUGGUGAGGUAACGGCCCACCAAGGCAAUGAUCAGUAGCCGGCCUGAGAGGGCGAACGGCCACACUGGAACUGAGACACGGUCCAGACUCCUACGGGAGGCAG